rnacentral:rRNA from 1 species
CCUACGGGAGGCAGCAGUGGGGAAUAUUGCACAAUGGGGGAAACCCUGAUGCAGCGACGCCGCGUGAGUGAAGAAGUAUUUCGGUACGUAAAGCUCUAUCAGCAGUGAAGAAAAUGACGGUACCUGACUAAGAAGCCCCGGCUAACUACGUUCCAGCAGCCGCGGUAAUACGUAGGGGGCAAGCGUUAUCCGGAUUUACUGGGUGUAAAGGGAGCGUAGACGGCAGCGCAAGUCUGGAGUGAAAUCCCAUGGCUUAACCAUGGAACUGCUUUGGAAACUGUGCAGCUAGAGUGCAGGAGAGGUAAGCGGAAUUCCUAGUGGAGCGGUGAAAUGCGUAGAUAUUAGGAGGAACACCAGUGGCGAAGGCGGCUUACUGGACUGUAACUGACGUUGAGGCGCGAAAGCGUGGGGAGCAAACAGGAUUAGAUACCCGAGUAGUC